rnacentral:piRNA from 1 species
UGAAGGCUGGGAAGAAGGUGAGCCUGCC